GCUCUCAGGUCGGUUACUGCUGUGCUGCACGUGUGAGAGGGCACGGCUGUUUGCGAACAGUACUGGGAAAGAAGUGCUAAAAGGAAAACAAACAAACAAAUAAAUGCUCUCUCUUUGGUAAUCCUGCUCAGAUUUCACAUUUUCAGCUGUCCCUGAGAAGUGUGACUCGUUUAAGUGACACUGAGACCACCCCUCGCAGCCCCUCCUGGUGCACGGCUGCCUGCAGUGCAUUGCCCAGCACGACGGGCAGUUGGACUUCAGGUAUCUCCAUGGAGAGACACUCCGUAACCUCUCUGGCUACAAUAUAAACACAACUAAUUACCCCAGGACCUCUGUUGGGAAUGGCUGUGGAGGUGAGGGUUCUCAAAAGUACAGAGGGACCAUCCACUAAAAUUGGAGUCCUACUUCAGCAUGGAAAAUGCCAAGUUUCACCUACUCCAAAACUGUAUGAAGCAAAUGGGGGCACGCAUUGCUUUAUGUUCCCUUGGCUGACCUGAGGAGACACAGCUGAUCAGGAGCAAUUCACAUGGUUACAUGAAGCACCUCUCAUGCUAGUGGCUAUUCUAUGUGGUCUUAUGGUCAAACUCUACUUGGCAACACUUGCCUUUGUAAAACUUGCAGCUUGUACCGGAGCUAAUCACACUACUGUAUAUGUGUGCCAUGAUUUUGAGAGGCGGGCAUACAGCUCUUUUGACAAGUAACUUUCUUUAGAGGAUGACUGUUGGGUGAAGUCCACGGUGACUGGAAAAAGGGAAACAUCACUCUUUUUUUCUGAGAAAGAGACAAAAGAAGAUCCAGGAAACUACAGGCUAGUGAGCAUCUCAUCUGUGCCUGGGAAGACCAUGGAACAGGUCCUCCUGGAUGUUACGUGUGACAGUGAGGUGAUCCAAGAUAGCCAGCACAGCUUCACCAAGGGCAGACUGCACCUCACCAAUGUGAUGGCCUUCUGUGAUGGCAUCAGUAGACACAAGAAGAGUAACUGAUGUUAUCUACCUUAAUUUCUGGCCUUUCAAAUGGUCCUACAACAUAUUCUUAAUUCUAAAUUGGAAGUAUACAGAGGGGUGGCAGCAGGGAGAGGGAGGGGAUUGUCCCGGGUUACUCUGCCCUCAAGAGGUCCCAUGUGGAGUACUGCAUCCUGAGGGGCCCCAAUACAGGAAAGGUGCGGAGCUGUUGGACUGGGUCCAGAGGAAAACCAUAAAGAUGAUUGAAGGGCUGGAAUAUCUCUCCUAUGAAGAAAGGCUGAGGCAGCUGGGCUUGUGCAGUCUAGAGGAGAGAAGGCUCCAAGGAAACCUCAUAAUGGCUUUCCAAUACUUAAAGGGAGCUUAUAAGCAGGAGAGAACAAACUUUUUACAUGGGCAGAUAGUGGUAGGAUGAGGGGGAACAGUUUUAACCUAAAAGAGAGGAGAUGUAGAUUAGAUGAUAUUAAGAGGAAAUUUCUUACUCAGAGGGUGGUGAGGCACUGGCACAGGCUGCCCAGGGAAGCUUUGGAUGCUCCGUCCCUGGAGCCGUUCAAGCCCAAGCCCUGGGCAGCCCAAUCUAGGGUGGGGGGGGAGGCAGCCCUACCCACAGCAGUGGGUUGGAACUGCAUAUCUUUAAGGUCCCUUCCAGCCCAUGCAAUUCUGUGAUUCUGUGGACUGUCAUUAGCCUUCAAGACUCAUUUGUUAUGGAUGACCUACCAAAGUCUCUCGGGUGCUCUCAGAGACAGGACAUAUGAAAGGGAAAGAAAUAGUUAAGUACAGUCUUACUAGUGCAGUCUAUAUACAACAGUGAUGCUUUUGAUACCACUGUGAAUUGUAUCCAUCAAUUUCUGUUGCAAGAUCUUUUCAACAAUGGAGAAUCAAGAAAAAACCUGAAUCAUAGAAUCAUAGGAGCCUAUGCUCCUUCUAACCCCUUUAUUUCUACUUAGCUUCAGAAUUAACACACAAAACAAAUAUUUAAACCAUCUCAUUCCUACAGGACAAACUAAAAAUUAGCAGGUGGAAUAAGGAGAGAGAAACUGAGCAUAUUUUUUGGUCUGUGACUUCCUUGGAAGUUUCCACAAGCUCGGAAUUUGAUGGUGAAAUGAACAAAGUACGUAACAGUCCACUCAGCAUUAACACGUGUGUCACCAGCACCCCAAAAUACACACUCACUGAAUUGUGUCACAUGCUGCAAGUAUAGCAAACUGUGGGGCUUAUUUGAUAUGCCAACCUGCUGGCAUGUACAUGAAAAAAUAAAAUAAUUAUCACACUACAUCUUUUGCUGCUUCACAAGGAAUGCCCAUAAAACAUCGUUACUGCCAUGACAGAUUUGUACAGCACUGAACUUGUAAAACAGAUGUUUGAAUAAGCAAGCAGACACGCUUGCCUUUGUUCCAAAUCAUCUCCUGUUACUCAGCUUUCAAGUCUGUGUGUGCAUCACUUAUAUCUGAAAGACACCUACCAAGCUGCUCUAUUUCAGUACCGGUUCUAUUCACUGUGACCACGUGUUUGAUGGAUAUAAUAAAGUGAAUGGCCUGAAACAAGAAA